GCCUCGGUGGUGUAGUGGUCAGACGCUCGUCUCGUAAACGGGAGGGCGUGGGUUCAAUCCCAGCCGAGGUA
rnacentral:tRNA from 1 species